rnacentral:rRNA from 1 species
ACAAUGUAGAGUAUGAUCCUGGCUCAGGAUGAACGCUAGCUACAGGCUUAACACAUGCAAGUCGAGGGGCAGCAUGAGGUCAGCUUGCUGACUUUGAUGGCGACCGGCGCACGGGUGAGUAACGCGUAUCCAACCUUCCCCUGUCUCGGGCAUAACCCGGUGAAAACCGGACUAAUUCCCGAUGUUGUUCCUUGACGGCAUCAGAUUGGAACCAAAGAUUUAUCGGACAGGGAUGGGGAUGCGUCUGAUUAGGUAGUUGGUGAGGUAACGGCUCACCAAGCCUUCGAUCAGUAGGGGUUCUGAGAGGAAUGUCCCC